rnacentral:lncRNA from 1 species
GGGAACUUGAACUUAUUGAAAAGAAAAACUGGAAAUAUCCAAGCUAAAACAAAGAAGAUGGGAUUGAAAACACAGGUGGAUGGAGAGACCUAGAAUGGAGAAGGACCAACUCUUUCAGUGUAAUUGGAAGUAAAAUAGAGAAAUGCUGAUGCAAGAAACAAUCCAACCUCUCUGGAUCAUUCAUACACAAAACCAUUGGACAAGGGACACAGCCUGAGGCCAAGAGGCAUGGAGAGUCUCUGAAUUUCAGAGAUUCCAGUCCCUGGCUGACUGGCUCCAAGGCAGAAACACCACGGCAGAGGACCUGGCAGAGGAAAGCUACCCACCACAUGGCAGCCAGGAAGUCGGAGAGGAGGGAACCAGGCCC